rnacentral:rRNA from 1 species
AUGAACGCUAGCGACAGGCCUAACACAUGCAAGUCGAGGGGCAGCACAAGGAGCAAUCUGAGGUGGCGACCGGCGCACGGGUGAGUAACACGUAUGCAACCUGCCUGUAAGCGGGGAAUAACCCGUUGAAAGACGGACUAAUACCGCAUAAUACUAAAUUACUGCAUGGUAAUUUAUUUAAACAUUUAUGGCUUACAGAUGGGCAUGCGCAUGAUUAGCUAGUUGGAGAGGUAACGGCUCCCCAAGGCAACGAUCAUUAGGGGUUCUGAGAGGAAGGUCCCCCACACUGGUACUGAGACACGGACCAGACUCCUACGGGAGGCAGCAGUGAGGAAUAUUGGUCAAUAGACGAGAGUCUGAACCAGCCAAGUCGCGUGCAGGAAGAAUGUCCUUAAUGGAUUGUAAACUGCUUUUGCAGGGGAAUAAAGUGCAUCACGUGUGAUGUUUUGUAUGUACUCUGCGAAUAAGGAUCGGCUAACUCCGUGCCAGCAGCGGC